CGGCUCCUGAUUUUAGAAAUUCUUGAAGAUGUAUCUAUCUACCUUGACAAAAGAAAGUGCCCAUGCUCAAAGAAAUGGAAGGAAAUAAGUAGAAAUAUAACUGAAAUCAAUCCAUAAUAAAUGCACUGCUAGGUCCUAAAGAAAGGUUUAAAGAUGGCUCAACUAAUUCAACUAACAACUACAAGUAUGUCUAAGAGUGGUUUGAUUGAACAAAUAAACACUUUCUCCAUUUUGAAAACAAAUUUUCUUACUUGAUCUUUUCCAUCAUAACUGAAAUCAGUCUAUCAUAAAUCCACUGCUAGGUCCUAAAGAAAGGUUUAAAGAUGGCUCAACUAAUUCAACUAACAACUACAAGUAUGUCUAAGAGUGGUUUGAUUGAAUAAAUAAACAUUUUCUCCAUUUUAAAUACAAAUUUUCCACUUGACCUUUUCCUCAAACUACCAGCUCUAUGGAGAAAAUUAUAAGACU
rnacentral:lncRNA from 1 species